rnacentral:rRNA from 1 species
UACAGAGGUCCCAAGCGUUGUUCGGAUUCACUGGGCGUAAAGGGUGCGUAGGCGGUCGGGUAAGUCUGAUGUGAAAUCUCACAGCUUAACUGUGAAACUGCAUUGGAUACUAUCCGGCUCGAGGAAUGGAGGGGAGACUGGAAUACUUGGUGUAGCAGUGAAAUGCGUAGAUAUCAAAGUGGAACACCAGUGGCGAAGGCGAGUCUCUGGACAUUUCCUGACGCUGAGGCACGAAAGCCAGGGGAGCAAACGGG